UCACAGCCUUCACUCAGGGAGCGCUUCCCCCUCGGCGCAGACCGAGCCUCCUCCGAUUUGAAACUCAGCAGCUGUUUUAACAAUUGAAAAAGCGGCCCUACAGGACCAGUGAAACGGAGCAGAGUGUGUGAAGCCAUUAAGGCUGACUAGAUGAGACAAUGAGGUGAGAAAAGUCCUCAUUGUAUCUCCACUUAGGAGAUACGAUCUAGAGCAGAUCCCUGGGUCAUUCAUUAACAAAGCUUACGAAGUCCCUGCUGUGUACCAGGCACAGCUAAAGAAGAACACUCUUUCAUGUGAGCAGUUUGGCCCAAGUUCCUGAUAGCUAUGUGCCAGUGAUAUCAUACAGCCUUAAGGCCACACAGACAUAAAGCCUGGUUAUUUUUUUAAAUGUUUUGAAGCUGAAUGGCAUCAGAUGUAGUGGAAAGAACACAGACAUCGGAGCCAGAGGUCUUGGGUACAGUUUCCUGCACUGACAUUUAAUAACUUUGUGACUGUGUGAACUUGGAAAGUUAUUUAAUCUUUCUGAAGUUCAGUUUCCUCAUCUGUAAAAUGGGGAUAAUAAAAUUUCUCUGAUAAGGUUAUUGUUAGGGUUAAACUAUUUUUAAUAUGUAAAGCAUGUGAUAUAUAAUAGGCACUAAACAAUUGCCUAUAUAAUAAUCACCAAUUUUUACUCCCUGGAUUCAAUUUCUGUUCAAAUAAAACAUUGCUUCUCCCUAAUCAGAAAACCGUACUUUGUAAGUGAAAAAAUAAAACAAAAGGAAUCACUUAGACCUUGCUUGUUAGGAUGGCCAAAAUGAUUAAUUUCAGGUUUGACAAAAUGUAACAAAUCAAAAACUCUUUCCUUUACAAAUUUAUUCCAAAAACAACCAGUGAAAAAGACAUUAUUUGCAUUUCACAGAUGAGAAAACGGAGGUUUAUGGCCAUCAGUGGCUGAGCAGGGAUCGGAGUCUCAUUCUGUCAAACUCUAAAGCCUGCGUUCUGAACCAACUCAAGCUGCCCCAGGAUAUUCCUUGGAGCCUCUAUCAACUAAUUUCACAGAUUCUUUUUUUUUCCUUUUUGCUGCUGUCAUGUUAAUGGGCAUUAUUUAAAAAGGGAUCUUACCACAGAAUUUGAUUUGGUGUCUCCUUGUUGACACCAUAUAAGAGCAAAUCUAACCACAUGUAGUGUUUUCACAAAAGUGUACCUAUCCAUCAAUUCUAGCCACAAACCUCUAAGGUCAGAAAUCUCAAAGAUUAAGCCAGAGGGAGGUGGAAUAGUCCAAACUGGUUUAGCUGCUUGAGUCUUCUCUUUUAUUUGAAAAUCACUUAAACUCUGUCAUUGACACAGUAUGAGUCCUUUCCUAAAGACAUUUUAAAAACUAACUUCUCUAUGAAAAGCAGUGAAUAGGAGGGCUGACACAAUUUUUAAAACUCUCAACAUGUGCAGCUCAUAAAAAGUAGGCAUAUGAUUAUAUAUACCUUUGAUUCAACCAGUUUCUAUUACAAGUAACCUGUGAACCCUAGAACUUAGUUAUUUUUUUUUUUAAAAAAAAGGAGGGGAAUCUCCACCUUAACCUUUUGGCCAUUUAAUCACUUAUUUAUUGAGUGGUUUCUAAGUGCCUGCUGUUGUCGCUCACUGCUUAUUAGUCCUUGUGAGAGCAAUCUUCAGUAGGAAUUAUUAGAAUUCCCAUUUUGGAGAUGAUGCUACUGAGGCUGUCAGAACUUGUCAUAUUUCUAGCCAAGAAAUUUGAACCCAGGCAGUGCUUUCAGCUAUUAUACUCGCUCCUCCCCUUUUGAAAUGGAUUCAAGGUAGUCACUCACAAAUGUGGAGAAUAAACUGAAGAAAGAAAUAAUAAGCCAAGUCCAGUCAUCUUAACAACCAUUUUUAACUGUUUCCUAGUAGUUUGGCAUAUAAAAAAAUUUCCCUCGAGAAAAUAAAACUUUAGUAGAAUAGCAUUAUUUUAAAAUUAUGUUAAGCUUUUCAGUGUGUGUUAUCAGACUCAAAUGUAUUAAAUUCCUUAUUGGAUUAGACCAGUUAACACUGGAUUUUGUCACAUUUCUACUUUUGAAUACCACAUCUAGGAAAGAAAUGUGUUAAUAUUUACUUCAUUGUGCCAAAUCAGAUUCUAUUGUAAAACUAGAUCAAAAAUGAAUCACUACACUAUAAAAUGCAAAAAUCUGUACGUGGAUUGUAAAGAGAAACAGGGACUGUUCUCAUUUUCUGGCGCAACUUCUCAACCCUCAUUAUGCUCUGUUGUAGAAAAAAUGCAUUAUUUCCGGUCAUUUAAAAGAAGUAGGGCCAUUUUUUCUAGAAAAUAAAUGGUAAUUGAAUCACUGAAAUGAUUUUGGGAAAACAGUUUCCAUACCAAUAGUGUCUAAUGUAACUCUGAAAACUCUUG
rnacentral:lncRNA from 10 species